UACGGAGGGGGCGAGCGUUAUCCGGAGUUACUGGGCGUAAAGGGCGUGCAGGCGGCCAUCUAAGUGUGGUGCUAAAGCCCCGGGCUCAACCGGGGGAGGGCAUGGCAUACUGGGUGGCUCGAGGUGCGGAGAGGCUACUCGAAUUGCCGGUGUAGCGGUGAAAUGCGUAGAGACCGGCAGGAACGCCAAGAGGGAAGGCAGGGGGCUGGCCGAUUGGUGACGCUGAGGCGAGACAGCGUGGGGAGCAAACCGG
rnacentral:rRNA from 1 species